CGGGUGAGUAACACGUGAGCAACCUACCUUUCAGUGGGGGACAACAUUUGGAAACGAAUGCUAAUACCGCAUAAGACCACAGUGUCGCAUGGCACAGGGGUCAAAGGAUUUAUCCGCUGAAAGAUGGGCUCGCGUCCGAUUAGCUAGAUGGUGAGGUAACGGCCCACCAUGGCGACGAUCGGUAGCCGGACUGAGAGGUUGAACGGCCACAUUGGGACUGAGACACGGCCCAGACUCCUACGGGAGGCAGCAUG
rnacentral:rRNA from 1 species